CUAGCGACUUCAGAGUUUGAUCCUGGCUCAGGAUGAACGCUGGCGGCGUGCCUAACACAUGCAAGUCGAGCGGGAUCUUGCUAAAUGACGCUUCGGUUGAUUUUAGUAAGUGAGAGCGGCGGACGGGUGAGUAACGCGUAGGCAACCUGCCCUUUGCAGAGGGAUAGCCAUUGGAAACGAUGAUUAAAACCUCAUAAUGCCAGACUGAGACAUCUCUAACUGGCCAAAGAUUUAUCGGCAAAGGAUGGGCCUGCGUCUGAUUAGCUAGUUGGUGGGGUAACGGCCUACCAAGGCGACGAUCAGUAGCCGACCUGAGAGGGUGAUCGGCCACAUUGGAACUGAGACACGGUCCAA
rnacentral:rRNA from 1 species